CCUUAUAUGCUAUGCAAAUCUUCAGAAUUGGGAGUAUUGAUGCAGGCAAGAGACAUCAGCAAAGAUAAUGGCCACUUUCAUCUUCUUAAUAAAAGGUAUUCACAUGGGGGGAGAAAGAAGGGAAGGGUAGGAAGGUAAGGACAGUUGUGGGAUGAAUUUUCCGUACACAGUGGAAAUCCUUGUUUUCUGACUCCGGAGCCCCUUUGACGCUCGGGAAGAUGCCCAGUGGAAAAGUACACCCCGGGACAAUCAGCUUUCCUUGGCCACGCAAGUUACCUGUGCGCCCAGAGAGGCAGCGGAUUUCACCGGAUGAUUAAAACCCAGGGGGAAUUCAAAGUUCACCCAAACGCGUCUGUAUAACGUACCUUGUUCAGCUCCUGCUCAUAGACUCGUCCUCCGCCUGUCUGUGUGGUCCCGGAGGGUCGUGGAAGGAAGUUUCCAAAAUUGAGGCGGGUCAAGACUCAGCAGAGUCUAGCAAGAGCAGAAUGAAGAAGUCUUUGGCUGGUUCAAGUCCCCCGUUCAAUGGGCUGCUCGAAGCCAGGACUGGGUGUGUAUCAGAAAAAAAAAAAAAGAGUGGAAAGCAUCAGAAAAGCAAGGCUUAUCUGAAAAUAAAAUUGUUUUGGGGUGAGCCAAAAGCCAAGGCCUGAUGUUCAAUGAAAUACUCAAAGGCCAAGAUGGCACUCUGGGACAGAGAACCUUCAUACUGCCAUUAACAGCUGAGGAUUUGGAUUUAAAACCAUCAGCUACUUUGGCUGCCUUCAUGCCACCAUGUUCCCUGUCACGAGAUUAAUGGGCUAAAUUUCUGAAACUGCAAGCAAGUCUCAUUUAAAUGUGGGACAGAAGUAGGUGGAGGGGUGUAAAACCCUCAACCCCUAAACAAAGCAAUAGAAUCUCCAGACUGCAGGCCUUGACUCAUGAAGCUGAGACACUCAGGAUGACCUUGUUGUCAUUUAGCACUACACUCACAGGUGGCAGGACCUGGGCCAAGAGAGCAUUACGUGUCUUCCUUAUCUCUCUGGAAAUCUAAGCUGCCCAGAUGAUCGUCUUCCGAGAAGGAAUUUGUAGUUCUGUAUCUUUAAGAGCAUCCCUCUUGUUUCUCAGUCUGCAAAACAGGAGGAGGCUUAAUACAGUGCUCUAUACUGCAGCACCAUUCUGUGCAUGAGGAUGCGGGUUGAAAAAGAAGGAAGAAUGAGAGGACCAGUCGUCACAAGCUCCUGUGUCCAAGUCUUCCCAGCCAUGAUGGGGAUACCCUCGGACGGUGAACCAAGAUAAAUAAACCCCUUCUUUCCUGACGUCCUCCUAUCAGGGUGUUUCAUCACAGCAAUGUGACAAUAAAUCCCAAGCCACUCUCAAUAAAUCACUCUCAUGCCACAUCUUCUAAUGGAAGAGUCUACCCUUCUUAAGAAUAACCUCUUUUGUUAUUUCAGUUUCCCAUAUCAUUUUUCUUCCUUUGCUUUCCUGCUCAAAAUUAAUCUGUGUCAUCUCUUCUACUGCCUGUCGGCUGCUACUGUGGGGAGGAGAGGAUAAAAUUCACCCAGAUGUGAGCAUCAGAAAUGGAAAGCCAAGUGAUAGGGCUUGACUGAUGUCACCAAAUGGCCAAUGAAGAGUCAGUCUUCUGGCUCCUUCUCCUUGAUACUACCUGACACCUCCCCUGCCCUCAUUUGCUUUCUGAGCAAUAUUUUAUCCUCCAUUAUCAACUUCUACCCAUCCUCCCACUGUGGCUUUGCUGCUCAUAGAAGGAAAUGCAAGCAGAGCUGUCCAGUUCCUGUUUCAUAAGUGCUGACAACAGAU
rnacentral:lncRNA from 1 species